CAGAAAGGCUCAUGACAUCACUGAAUGUCAAAACAUGUGGCAAAGAGUAUGUGCUGAAACGCGGACUACACAAAACACAUUUCGGAAUAUGUCAACUAUUAUACCCAGGAAGAAAUGGUUUCAAUAAAGCAUGU
rnacentral:lncRNA from 14 species